GGGGUAAGGGUAGGGUUAGGGGUAGGGUUAGGAGUAGGGUUAGGGAUAGCGUUAGGGCUAUAGUAGGGUUAGGGGUAGGGUUGAGUUAGGAGCAGGGGUAAGGUUAGGAGUAGGGGUAGGGUUAGGAGUAGGGUUACCCUACCCUAACCCUAACGCUACUCCAACCACUAACCCUAACCCUACCCCAACCCCUACCCCUACCUCAACUAUUAACCCUACCCCAACCCUUAACCCAACCCCAACCACUAACCUUACCCUAACCCUACCUCAACCCU
rnacentral:sRNA from 1 species